UUUUUAUUUUAACACCACUAAAUGGAACAGGCGACGAAAUACUACAAAGAUAUUGCUAGUCGCCGCAAAAGAAACACGCAAGGAGGCAAUUUAGAGGCAAUCGUUGCGACGAUUUAGGAACAAUAAAAACAAUAAAAACGAUAAUCAGUCGUGCAACAGAGCUCUCAGGGGUGGUAGGGGCGAUUUAAAUGGAUAAUUCCAAUUAGGCACAGAUGCAUCACCUUUGGAGUUUCCCUCACCGUUCGCACUCUAAAGUGAAGCUCGGCGUAAGUGCCUAUGGAGUACUUUUCAGGAGUCUUCAUCAUUUCUCUGCCAAGGGCCCGAACGAGGAUGGGCAAAAAGAGGAAAGGACUCCUUUGGCUUCAGGUCCCACACCGCUGAAGUCUUAUAUGGCACGAGUAGGUAGCUCAUCAUCGCGCAGCGUGUAGUGGAAUCCGAGAAGCACGACGGAAGUAGAGAAUAUCCAUAAACAUGAGAAGUUUUCUUGUAGAGGUUGAUGACGGUAAGUCACGUUCGCAUGAUGGCGAAACGGUCGCGACCGUUUAUCGUAGCCUGGUGGUAGCCGCCACGAAUAACAAAAUAACAAAAUAGCUUGUGAUAGAAUGUGAUAUAAGGGUAGGUAUUACUAGAGUUUGUUUAUUGUUUUCUAUUUGUUUUGUCCCACUCUGUGCUAAUAUUUGGAAUGUGCUGGCCGUAGUUAAAUGAACUUCGGAGACAGGUAACCCAGGACGAUAUAAAGCCGAUCCUGCGCCGCACCUGUCACACAGCAUAUCCUAAGGGUGCCCAGAAGUGCGACAGAAACCAAAUAGCCUUCAAGGUAGCGUUCUUUGAAUACCGUUCGUCAGUCAAACUGAUGAACUGAGCAGUUGACGAAUGCUUAAGUGUUGUCCACUGUCCAGAUUAUGCGUAGAUUAGUUAGCCUGUGUUAGGAUUUGUCUUCUCUCCCCCAAGUAUUUGAAAUUAAUUAGAAAGAAAAAAAUUUAUUUUUGUGAGUGUU